AUACUAAAAAAUCCCAACCAUUUAAACCCAAAAUUUGAGAGGAAUGCAGGUUAGAUCUUACUAGGGAAACCAAUUUUGAAGAUUUUGGAUUGCUAAAUGAUCCUCUGGUUUGGGUUCAAAUCAUCAAAUGGGUAGUUGGGUGCCAAAAUUUGGUUAAUGGGGUUUUGACUUUGUUGAUUUAUUCCAUUUUGAUUCUGGGUUUUAUAUUUCUAUGGGUAAACACGUGAAUUGUUUUUUAAUUGAUCUUUCUAAAUUUUUGUGAAUUUUUUUUUCAUUUAAAAUUUUCAGAAAAUCCCAAAUUUGCAUGCAUCCCUAACAUGCCAAUGAUCUCAGCACUCAUAUUUGAGUCUUUCUUAUGAUUUGCUUUGGUAGAGAAAAUUUUGAAUUGUGAAGUUUUUCUUCACUAAAUUUAUUUCUGCCUUUAUGUGCUUGUGAUUGGUAAGUGCUGAGAUUGGCUUUUAGUAUUUUGGCUCGCAAUCUUCUUGUCCUUCUAGUACGUUGAUUCACUUGUUCUCAGAUUUGGUUCACGUGAAUUUAACGCCAAGAUAGCGGUGGUUUUUAUCACGCGAUUCACAUGCUUUCGUCAGGACUAAAUUUUAUAAUUUCAGGUAAUAAGAGGCUUGAUUGAUGAAAAUCAAAAUACGAAGGGGAAAUUGAUCUUUAGGUUAAAGUUGGAGACUCAAUUGAGUAUCAGGCCUAAUUCAUUAAAUCAUUUGCUUUUUUAUAGAUAUUUUUCCAGUAAUGAUAUCAAAUGAUAUCUGGCUGAUAGCUUUAAUUUGCCAUUGGAGCACUUUGGUUUGUCUGGAUUAGGUAGGGACUUUAUAGGAUUUAAAUGGGGCUUGCCGGUAUACUUUGUUUUCCCAACUAGGUAGUGGAUGUGAGAAUGAUGUUACUUAAUUAGAUAUAUACCAACAAAUUUUCUGGAUGAUAGCUGACUAGAAGGAUAAGAG
rnacentral:misc_RNA from 1 species